ACGUGCCAGCAGCCGCGGUAAUACGUAGGUGGCGAGCGUGUCCGGGAAUUACUGGGCGUAAAGGGUGUGCAGGCGGAUAUUUAAGUGAGAUGUGAAAGACCCGGGCUUAACCCGGGCAGUGCAUUUCAAACUGGAUAUCUAGAGUGCAGGAGAGGAGAACGGAAUUCCUAGUGUAGCGGUGAAAUGCGUAGAGAUUAGGAAGAACACCAGUGGCGAAGGCGGUUCUCUGGACUGUAACUGACGCUGAGGCACGAAAGCGUGGGUAGCAAACAGGAUUAGAUACCCUGGUAGUCCACGCCGUAAACGAUGAGUACUAGGUGUAGGGGGUAUCGACCCCCCCUGUGCCGCAGUAAACACAAUAAGUACUCCGCCUGGGAAGUACGAUCGCAAGAUUAAAACUCAAAGGAAUUGACGGGGACCCGCACAAGCAGCGGAGCAUGUGGUUUAAUUCGAAGCAACGCGAAGAACCUUACCUGGACUUGACAUCCCCUGAAUAACUUGUAAUGGAGGAAGCCCUUCGGGGCAGGGAGACAGGUGGUGCAUGGUUGUCGUCAGCUCGUGUCGUGAGAUGUUAGGUUAAGUCCUGCAACGAGCGCAACCCCUGUCGUUAGUUGCCAUCACGUAAAGGUGGGCACCCUAACGAGACUGCCGCGGUUAACGUGGAGGAAGGUGGGGAUGACGUCAAAUCAUCAUGCCCCUUAUGUCCAGGGCAACACACGUGCUACAAUGGGCAGAACAGAGAGAAGCAAUGCCGCGAGGAGGAGCAAAUCUCAAAAACUGCCCCCAGUUCGGAUUGCAGGCUGAAACCCGCCUGCAUGAAGUUGGAGUUGCUAGUAAUCGCGAAUCAGCAUGUCGCGGUGAAUACGUUCCCGGGUCUUGUACACACCGCCCGUCACACCAUGAGAGCUGGCAACACCCGACGUCCGUAGUCUAACCAAAAGGAGGACGCGGCCGAAGGUGGGGUUAGUGAUUGGGGUGAAGUCGUAACAAGGUAGCCG
rnacentral:rRNA from 1 species